UGAAAUUUAAUAAAUUUUAAGAAAGUAAAUAAAAAUAAAACUAGGAUUAGAUACCCUAUUAUUUUUUAGUUAUAUUAAAGUAGUAAAUUAUAAUAACAAAACUUAAUUUUUUUGGCGGUUUUCUAUAUAUUCACAGGAACUUGUAUAAUUAAAAAGAUAACCCACUUUUAAUUUUACCUUUUUUAUUUUUUUGUACGGUUGUUAGAUAAAGAUUUAUUUUUUUUUCUCAAAAAAUAAAAUAUUUUUAAUUCAGAUCAAUGUGAAGAUAAUAAAAAGGAUUAUAUGAGUUACAAAAAUUAGAAAAAUUAAUUUCAUAAAUUUUUAAAAAUGGAUGUGAAACGUAAAAAUUUAAUAAAAAUAAAUUUUGAAUUAUUCCUAGAAAAAGUACAUAUCGCCCGUCACUCUUAUAAAUUAGAUAAGUCGUAACAAAGUAGAAAUACUGGAAA
rnacentral:rRNA from 1 species